AUGGAGUCCAGCACUUAGCUGUAAACAUUCUGGAGCCACUCUGACUCCAGAGAAAGACACAGUAAACGUUGCCUGCAGAUGCCAGCCUCAAAAGGGUGAUCCUUAUCUUUGAUGCCUGGAGACUGGAUUACUGAGGUAGCAGCAUCUUGAGGAUAAUGCCAGGCACGACCUGCUCCAUAAGGAUCCUUCAUUAAGGUGAAGAGACAUUGUGAGCUGACAGAGCUUUGGCUCUUGAUCACUAGCACACCACGAGACCGAUUUAACAAACUACCCUGCUUACCAACAGCAUUUGAUGACUUUGUCCCAUCUUUGGACUGCAAGUUUGCCUCCAGUCUCCAUGGGUACUGUGGGUACUACAGAUACUGCAGUUGUGAAAAGGAUGUUGAAUAGAUUACAGAAGGAAUAGAGAGUGAAAUGUAUUGUACAGAUUUGGUCUUAACUUCGGGAAGCAGAGUAGUGUAGUAAUUGAAGUCCUGACUAGGACUCAGGGGACCUGAAUUCUAUUCCUGGCUCUGUCAUGGGCCUGCUGGGUGACCUGGGAGCCAUUCCACCUUCUUAAGGUGCACAACUCCCUGAAUGUGAAGAGGAGGCCCCCUGGGUCUCCAGCCCAAACCCAGAUGUCUACACUGCAAUUUUUAGACCUGCAGCCCAAGCCCCGAGAGCCAAAGUUAGCGGACCCAGUGACCCAUAAGCAUAAUUUGCUUUUCUUCACUGACUUUGAAAAUGGCUGAAUUGCAUGUGCAUCGCUGAGGAAAGGAUGCUGUGGGAGGUCAGAGCAACGGUGUCAUGCAAGUGAAUGCAAAUAUGUGAGUUCUUGCUCUGAACUUUUGUAAGUUCAAUCAGGGAGCUCUGGAACAAUGUGAAUUUUUGCUUGUGGGAGGCCAGAGUGGUUAUUCAUGAGUGCUUCAUCCGCUUCUCUUCUCAGUUUUAAUACUGCAUUAACCAGCUAGGCACCUGCUGCAAUAUGUUAAAAGUCUCUUGUAUAUUUUUAAAGGACGUUUAUUAAAUAAACAGCUUGGAAGUAAUUGUGCAGGGGGAAAAUGCCUUUUUCCAGCUCCCCAUAAAGGAAUUUUAUUGGCAACAGAUCUGAAGAAACUGCCAGCGAAUGUAAAAAAAAAAGUACAGAUGGUGCUCAGGAAAAAAAGGCAAGAUGAGAACAAGAAACAAUAUAUACAAAAUCAAAACAGACUUUUAGUUUAAUGGUUUUUCAGCCAGCGUAAGAUAUAUAGUGAAUAAAGGUGUAACAACAAAACAAGUGCACAGGAAUGGUAUGUCUGUGUUCCAUGUACAAGCAGAAGCAAUGCAAAGAGGCUGUAUUUAUAGAUGUUAUGUACACAGCAU